CUUUUUGUGCAUAAUGUAUAUAUAGGGGGGUGGUAGUACUCUUGGGGUAGAGAGGCAUGUGCUGGGAUGGCAUGCCAAGGCAUGUGCUGGGAUGGCAUGCCUUGGUGUGUGCUGGGAUGGCAUGCCAAGGACAAGCAUGUGCGAGGAAGGCAUGCCAAGGCCAAGGCAAGCACAUGCAUUGUGAGCGAGAUGAGACGGUUGUCUUUACCCCAAGAGUGCCCAAGGGAGAGGAAAGAGGUGUCAAACGCAUGCUGAGCCCCACUUCGGUAGUUUGGCACCCCCAUAGGCAUUCAGGCAAGCGUGCCUAUGGGUAAAGUCGGUAGAGCUUGUCAGCCAUGUUGGGUACUAUUGUUUGGACGAGAUGAUGGCACACGUCAAGCUUGCUUUAAUGUAACGUUCUGGCAGCACAGCCAGCCCGCAAUUGCUAGUUCAAGCGGGUGGAAUCUGCCUAUAGGGGCGUUGCUUGCUUGCUUGCUGUGGAAUUGGGCACGCCCAAUAUGUAUCAUYGACCCACGUAGUUCCUGCAUGGCCCCAUAGGUAUUCAGGCAAGCGUGCCUAUGGGUAAAGUCGGUAGAGCUUGUCAGCCAUGUUGGGUACUAUUGUUUGGACGAGAUGAUGGCACACGUCAAGCUUGCUUUAAGGUAACGUUCUGGCAGCACAGCCAGCCCGCAAUUGCUAGUUCAAGCGGGUGGAAUCUGCCUAUAGGGGCGUUGCUUGCUUGCUUGCUGUGGAAUUGGGCACGCCCAAUAUGUAUCAUCGACCCACGUAGUUCCUGCAUGGCCCCAUAGGUAUUCAGGCAAGCGUGCCUAUGGGUAAAGUCGCUUGAGCUUGCCAACACCCAUGUUAGCUGUAGUCUGGACCGAUGAUGGCACAAGGAUGCUUGCUUUAAGGUAACAUUCUGGCAGCACAGCCAGCCCGCAAUUGCUAGUUCAAGCGGGUGGAAUCUGCCUAUAGGGGUGUUGCUUGCUUGCUGUGGAUUUGGGACACGCCCAAUAUCUAUCAUCGACCCAACGAACUGCUCAACAUGGGUUGCUGAGGGCUAUUUUGGCACUGGCGGUUCACUUGUUUGCUUGGCUCUGAUAAACGUUUAGAUGUCAUGAUGCUUSGGAUCCAAUAAAUUUAUGUGGGAAGCUGAGAGCUGGAACCCAAUGUCAUUCACCAGACSGCUUAGCUUCGUCAGUGUGUAUAAUAUGUCAUUGAACCCCAAUCCUCGAUGCCAACCUGAUUAUGACUUUUGGAUUGCAAUUAUCAUGGCUAUCAAAAACUGAGUAGGAGUCAUGGAAUAAGUGAACAAUUUGUAGCUUUUAUAGCUGUCAGCUUUCGCAUCCCCCGGUGUGUUUUGGGAAUCGCUUUGUGCGUUUGGUUGCCUGCCGUGCCUCUUGGCAUACGGUGGGUGCCACUUGCCGGGUGGUUUUCGGAAACAUCCACCGUAAAGGUGCAUGAGUGGUGUUUGGUUUGUUACGGGUGGUUGGCUCUUUGCUUGCGCAACAACUUCCACCCGACUUACCUCUUCAGAUGUUUGCCUAGGCUUGUAUAGCCUAAGCAGAUUGUGGGUUUCCUGUGUUGCCUACCUACGUCACGGAAUUGUCCCGAUUGAUCAAAGUUGCUUUCGUCUUGUGCCGUCUUGAUGGCAUAAGAUGAACCAUGAAGCUGUCUCUUUGCACCGCAUUGUUAAUGGAUGCGUUGAUGUUGUGGCCCAUUGAGCAUUGCUUGGUACCUUGGAUACGGAACCUUAUGUGGGCAUGGGUCCUUGGGGAUCCUUGUUCUGCCCUCGUKUAGCGUUCGCGCUUCUCUUAGAAUGASWGCCUAGCCGGAAUGGCAACCCAUUGCGGAUGGGCAUUGUCAAAGAGGAAUGC
rnacentral:misc_RNA from 1 species